rnacentral:rRNA from 1 species
AGUGAACGCUGGCGGUAGGCCUAACACAUGCAAGUCGAACGGCAGCACAGUAAGAGCUUGCUCUUACGGGUGGCGAGUGGCGGACGGGUGAGGAAUACAUCGGAAUCUACUUUUUCGUGGGGGGUAACGUAGGGAAACUUACGCUAAUACCGCAUACGGCCUACGGGUGAAAGCAGGGGAUCUUCGGACCUUGCGCGAUUGAAUGAGCCGAUGUCGGAUUAGCUAGUUGGCGGGGUAAAGGCCCACCAAGGCGACGAUCCGUAGCUGGUCUGAGAGGAUGAUCAGCCACACUGGAACUGAGACACGGUCCAGACUCCUACGGGAGGCAGCAGUGGGGAAUAUUGGACAAUGGGCGCAAGCCUGAUCCAGCCAUACCGCGUGGGUGAAGAAGGCCUUCGGGUUGUAAAGCCCUUUUGUUGGGAAAGAAAAGCAGCAGGUUAAUACCCCGCUGUUCUGACGGUACCCAAAGAAUAAGCACCGGCUAACUUCGUG